CCUACGGGCGGCUGCAGUGGGGAAUAUUGCACAAUGGGCGCAAGCCUGAUGCAGCCAUGCCGCGUGUGUGAAGAAGGCCUUCGGGUUGUAAAGCACUUUCAGCGGGGAGGAAGGCGGUGAGGUUAAUAACCUCAUCGAUUGACGUUACCCGCAGAAGAAGCACCGGCUAACUCCGUGCCAGCAGCCGCGGUAAUACGGAGGGUGCAAGCGUUAAUCGGAAUUACUGGGCGUAAAGCGCACGCAGGCGGUCUGUCAAGUCGGAUGUGAAAUCCCCGGGCUCAACCUGGGAACUGCAUUCGAAACUGGCAGGCUAGAGUCUUGUAGAGGGGGGUAGAAUUCCAGGUGUAGCGGUGAAAUGCGUAGAGGUCUGGAGGAAUACCGGUGGCGAAGGCGGCCCCCUGGACAAAGACUGACGCUCAGGUGCGAAAGCGUGGGGAGCAAACAGGAUUAGAUACCCGUGUAGUC
rnacentral:rRNA from 1 species